UAGGGAAUCUUCCACAAUGGACACAAGUCUGAUGGAGCAACGCCGCGUGAGUGAAGAAGGCUUUCGGGUCGUAAAACUCUGUUAUUGAAGAAGAACGUGUGUGACAGUAACUGGUCAUGCAGUGACGGUAUUCAAUCAGAAAGUCACGGCUAACUACGUGCCAGCAGCCGCGGUAAUACGUAGGUGGCGAGCGUUGUCCGGAUUUAUUGGGCGUAAAGCGAGUGCAGGCGGUCUUUUAAGUCUGAUGUGAAAGCCUUCGGCUUAACCGAAGAAGGGCAUCGGAAACUGGGAGACUUGAGUGCAGAAGAGGAGAGUGGAACUCCAUGUGUAGCGGUGAAAUGCGUAGAUAUAUGGAAGAACACCAGUGGCGAAGGCGGCUCUCUGGUCUGUAACUGACGCUGAGGCUCGAAAGCGUGGGUAGCAAACAG
rnacentral:rRNA from 1 species